CCGAACCCACCAGGGUUAAAAACCUGGGGGAUGAGCUGUGGGUAGGGGUGAAAGGCCAAUCAAACUCCGUGAUAGCUGGUUCUCCCCGAAAUGCAUUUAGGUGCAGCGUCGCAUGUUUCACCUCGGAGGUAGAGCUACUGGAUGGCCGAUGGGCCCUACAAGGUUACUGACGUCAGCCAAACUCCGAAUGCCGGGGUGUGAGAGUGCGGCAGUGAGACUGCGGGGGAUAAGCUUCGUAGUCGAGAGGGAAACAGCCCAGAUCGCCGGCUAAGGCCCCUAAGCGUGUACUAAGUGGAAAAGGAUGUGGGAUCGCUGAGACAGCCAGGAGGUUGGCUUAGAAGCAGCCACCCUUGAAAGAGUGCGUAAUAGCUCACUGGUCAAGUGGUCCUGCGCCGAUAAUUUAGCGGGGCUCAAGUACACCGCCGAAGCCGCGGCACUCACACGUGUACCUCCCUUUGUGGGCAGGUGUGUGGGUGGGUAGGGGAGCGUCGUGUGGCCAUGGAAGCGCCGGAGUGAUCCAGGUGUGGAGGCCACGCGAGUGAGAAUGCAGGCAUGAGUAGCGAAUGACGAGUGAGAACCUCGUCCGCCGGAUGACCAAGGGUUCCUGGGUCAAGCUAAUCUGCCCAGGGUGAGUCGGGACCUAAGGCGAGGCCGACAGGCGUAGUCGAUGGACAACGGGUUGAUAUUCCCGUACCCGCGA
rnacentral:rRNA from 1 species